CUCUAGAGAUGUCUCCGUGCCGGUAUUCUCCAUUGUAGCGGAACAACUCUCAUCAAUAUGUUCGCAUCUCUCCUCAAUCCGUGCAGCCAGCUUUUCUGCCAGCUUCUCUUCGUGUCUCCCAUAAAGUCGACUUCAACAGGACUGGGCAAGUUUGAAAGUACCUCGGAGCCUCACCAGGAAGCUGAUGACAAGCAGAUCUUCCACUGUCUGCCCUCUCAGGUUCUGGAAACUUACCCGUGAACAUAGGUCUUUGGGCAGCAGCAUUAUCUCGAACUUACACAGUGUCCCGAACAAAAGACCUAAGCCAAUCUCCACAAAGGGCGGCAGCCCCUUCAUCACACUGAUCCACCCACAGAAUUCUGCCCAGUUACCUUGGAUCCACCAGCCACAACAAGCCUCGCGGUACACACCAAGAUUCCACCUAGAAUCCAACCGGUUUUCUGAGGCCUCAGCCUGUCUUUGGAAGUAACAGACCACUCUUCGGAAAGUGUCCUGUGCCAAGAGCUGGACGUCAGGAAUCUUGGAGCCGUUCUUGGAGCAGAGAAUGGAGUGACUUUCUCA